CAGUAGCCGCGGUAAUACGAAGGGGGCUAGCGUUGUUCGGAAUGACUGGGCGUAAAGGGCGCGUAGGCGGCGAUCAAAGUCAGGCGUGAAAUUCCUGGGCUCAACCUGGGGGCUGCGUUUGAUACUUGGUUGCUAGAGUGAGGAAGAGGGUCGUGGAAUUCCCAGUGUAGAGGUGAAAUUCGUAGAUAUUGGGAAGAACAUCAGUGGCGAAGGCGGCCAUCUGGGACAACACUGACGCUGAGGCACGAAAGCGUGGGGAGCAAACAGGAUUAGAUACCCCCGUAGUCCCUGUCUCUUAUAC
rnacentral:rRNA from 1 species